CUCCUUCAGAAGUUCGUAUUUCGAUAGAAUAAGCCCUCUUUCAUUUCUGAAAAUGAAAAUUGAGUUAACAACUGAAUCUAUCCACAAGACAGGAUCUGAAUGAAGAAUUGGAUGCACUCUUUUGUAUAACCAGGAUUCGAGUUUGGGGUUUUCGAUUAAUCGAUUAAUGGAAUCGUUGCUGGAAACGAGGAAUCUUUGAAUUAAGAGUUGGACGCAUUCACUCUUUCUAAUCAGAGCUUGCUUUCUGAAAGGCACGCAUGUUCAUCUCCAUCUGCAUCUUGCUGUGAUUUGUAAGCUUGCCUGAUUUCAACCAUCCCAGGCAUCACCUCUUCAUCCAAGGCUCCAUAUAACCUUUGUCUUCUCUUCAGUGUUGGU